GUCGAGUGCGCGGUUGUAGCAAUACAACUGGCGCACGGCGCACGGGUGCGUAACACGUGGGCAAUCUGCCCUCCGAUGGGGAAUAACCCCGCGAAAGCGGGGCUAAUUCCGCAUAACAUUCCCUGGACUCUGGUUCGGGGAUUCAAAGCAGCAAUGCGUCGGAGGAGGAGCCCGCGCCCGAUUAGCUAGUUGGUGAGGUAACGGCUCACCAAGGCAAUGAUCGGUAGCUGGUCUGAGAGGAUGGCCAGCCACACUGGAACUGAGACACGGUCCAGACUCCUACGGGAGGCAGCAGUGGGGAAUCUUGCGCAAUGGGCGAAAGCCUGACGCAGCGACGCCGCGUGGGGGAUGAAGCUUCUCGGAGUGUAAACCCCUUUCGACCGGGACGAAUGCCCGCAAGGGAGUGACGGUACCGGUAGAAGAAGCCCCGGCUAACUACGUGCCAGCAGCCGCGGUAAGACGUAGGGGGCCAGCGUUGUUCGGAAUUACUGGGUGUAAAGGGUUCGUAGGCGGUGUGGCAAGUCGGGAGUGAAAUUUCUGGGCUUAACCCAGAGGCUGCUUCCGAAACUGCUGUGCUCGAGUGUGGGAGAGGCGCGUGGAAUUGCAGGUGUAGCGGUGAAAUGCGUAGAUAUCUGCAGGAACACCCGUGGCGAAAGCGGCGCGCUGGACCACUACUGACGCUGAGGAACGAAAGCUAGGGGAGC
rnacentral:rRNA from 1 species